GAGAUCCUCACUUUAGGAGCAAGACCUGGUUGAGAUGAAUAGACUUUCUGUGUGGACUUUUAUGCAGCUGGCAGAGCAGCCCUUGACCCAGCUGUAAGAUGCCACUUGGAGCAAAGGUGUUAGUCAAAUGCAAUGCCAGGUGGACCACAGGCUCAGACAGACACAGACAUGACAGGCCUAGCGUUGUUCUCUUGGGACAUGGAACUUUACCCCUGCAUAGAAGAAGCCUUUGCUUACACCAAAGCUGAAAAACAUUGUGAAGACUAUACCUCCUAGUAGCACCACCUCCGACCCACCCACUGAUGACAUCACUACCAGCACCCUCUGAUGCCAUCCUAUC